rnacentral:rRNA from 1 species
UACGUAGGGUGCAAGCGUUGUCCGGAAUUAUUGGGCGUAAAGAGCUCGUAGGCGGUCUGUCGCGUCGGCUGUGAAAUCCCGAGGCUCAACCUCGGGUCUGCAGUCGAUACGGGCAAACUGGAGUACUGCAGGGGAGACUGGAAUUCCUGGUGUAGCGGUGAAAUGCGCAGAUAUCAGGAGGAACACCGGUGGCGAAGGCGGCGUCCUGGACCAAUACUGACACUGAGGAGCGAAAGCCAGGGGAGCAAACGGG